GAUCCCCUACGGGGCGCAGCAGUGAGGAAUAUUGGUCAAUGGGCGCGAGCCUGAACCAGCCAAGUCGCGCGAGGGAGGACGGCCCUACGGGUUGUAAACCUCUUUUGCCGGGGAGCAACGGGCGUAACGUGUGGCGCCACUGAGAGUACCCGGAGAAAAGCAUCGGCUAACUCCGUGCCAGCAGCCGCGGUAAUACGGAGGAUGCGGGCGUUAUCCGGAUUUAUUGGGUUUAAA
rnacentral:rRNA from 1 species